CGGCAAUGUCUCCAUCUUGGAGCGCUGGAGGAGAGAGGAUUUGGGAGGAUGAAGAGGAGGAGAACAGCAAACCUGGGGAUCCUCAUCUCAACAGUGAAAGCUACGCAAGCACAGCCUAGGUCUUUAAACCCUGCAAGGAAGAGGUGCUCUGUGUUCCAUCCGGGACCUUCUCCUGCAACAUAAUCUCCCCAAGACUCACAACAAGCAACGAUGGCAC